GGGCCUUCAUGUUACUCUAUUUUGGAUUUUAUAUUGAAGGCGAUGGAGGAGCCAUUAAAGGACCUAACUAGAGGAUUUUCUCAUGCUUUUCUUCAUGUUAUUACUAAUUCAGCAAUUUAUUCCUUAAAAGACACAUUUCUUGAGGGUAUUUUAGGCCAAUUGUGAAGUUCUCUUGGAUUUAGUACUUUCACAGGGUGAGAUGGAGAUUAAGAUGGUCAUCUGCAAGGAGGUUGUGUUGAAAGCCUAUCAGUAUCCAAUGUUUAAGCGGUUGCUGAUCUUAUAAACCAUAAACAACUAGUUUGUAGUAGUUGUAUUCUACAGCAGCUGUAUCAUAUUACAUACAAAUGCUUUCUUGCCAUUUCUUCUGCCAGGUCUUCCUGCCCAUGCAUCUUUAUCAGAGCAGGUACAGCACGAUGAGGCUUCCUGCCAACACUUUGCCAGUCCUGGAGAUACAGGUGGUGUUUAAUGAAACCUGGACCUUUCCUCUCCCCAACUCCUGUACGUUAUUUGCACGGGAGCAGCAGUGUGGUCCAGCGCAGCUGCAGGCAGAUCCCAGCCAGAUAUCUGCCCCGACCCCAGAGGCUUGAGCAAACCUGUGCAGCCAAGGCCAACCCAGGUAAGAGCUGCAAUGGCACACAAACUUCAGUCAGAGAUCUGCCCCAUAGCAUUGGUGAGUGCGUGCAUAUCCCAGGAAGCAGCACUGUGGUCCAGACUGGCCCAGCUGUAGCCAGAUCCCAGCCAGGGAUCCUCCCUGACCCCAGAGACUCAGUCACACCCACCUAGCCAAGGGCCCACCUGGAAAAGAGCUACACAGCGGAAAAGAGCUACGCAGCAGAGAAAAGACCUCUUGGUGGUUUGCUGAAAAUUGAAGACCAGUGGGUGAGCAAAACGUCCUCUCAACAAAGGUACAGCAGGAUACAUCUGUUGAAAUGAGAAGACACAGAAACAAGUCCCAAAGCAGACUUCCAGAUCACCAAAGGCAACCCCACAGGGAAAUGAAAUGGAACAGUCUGAUUGAUAUUCAAUCACCUGGACCCCCUGAAUUGGCAACAAAAGAAGAUCUGGAAAAAAUGAAGUCAGAAAUAAUUUCUCAGAUAACAGCAGAGAUUGUGCCCAUAGUGCAGGACAUGAUUAAUAAACCUGGAGCACACACAGAUAAAAAAAUAGAGGAGCUGAGGAACAUGAUGAAAUCCCAACAUAGGAAACAAAUGGAAUCCAUAAAAUAGAUGCAAAAAGAUUUCCAGGAUAUUGAAAACUCCUUUGAAAGUUUAAACAGCAGAAUGAGCCAAUGUGAAGAUAGAACUUCAGAUAGAGAAGGUAGGAUUGCAGUUAGUGAACAGGAAAAGAAAAAUUUCUUAAAAAGAGUAAGGGACCAUGAGAAAUCAACCCAACAGCUGCUAGAUGGUACAAAGAAGAAUAAUGUAAGACUGAUCAGAGUCAAUGAAGAUACGGGAGAGUGCAAAUGACAUUAAAAAUCUGUGCACAGAAAUAAUGACAGAAAACUUCCCAAGCAGGGGAAAACAAUUUGACAUACAGAUAAGUGAGGCAUAUAGGACUCCAGCUAGCUGUGAUUAAAAAAAAAAUCUACACAUAGGAUUCUAGAAACCCAAUAGAACAAAAUUCUACAAUCAAUCAAAGAAAGGAAACAAAUCACAUACAAAGGAAAGCCCAUCAGAAUUACAGCAGAGUUCUUAACACAAACUCUCAAGGUGAGAAGAGCUUGGGGCGAUAUAUUUCAAGCCUUAAAGGAAAACAACCUCCAACUCAGUUCCAUGUACCCUGAAAAACUGUCUUUCAAAAUUGUUGGAGAAAUAAGACACUUUCGUGACAAAGAGCACCUUAGGAACUUCAUGAAUACCAAACCAGCACUCCAAAAAUUUUUAAACAAAAUCCUAGACAAAGACAAUGAGGAUCACAACCCCAGAAAGCCCAGCAGAAUGAAUCCAUCAGGCAUGACAAGAAAUUAAAUUCAAAGGAGGAGAUUCCAACAAAAAGAAAAAGUAAUGACAAGGAUAAGACAAUAGAUAUCAGUUAUAACCAACAAUGUUAAUGGUCUCAAUUCACCAAUCAAAAGAAAUAGAUUGGCAGAAUGGAUCAAGAAGCAAGAUCCAUUAAUAUGCUGUAUAGAAGAAACACACUUAAUUCAAAAUGAAACUCAUAGACUGAAAGUUAAAGGGUGGAAAACAAUACUUCAUGUAACAGGAACCAGAAAAAAAAAAGCAAGAGUAGCUAUCAUCUUUGCAGAUCAAGUGGAUUUCAAACCAACACUGAUUAAGAGAGACAAGGUAGGACACUACAUACUUGUAAAGGGAAAAGUCCAAGAGGAAGAGAUGACAAUCAUAAAUACAUAUGCACCAAACACUAGUGUGCCCAAGUGUAUAAAACAAAUAGUAAUGGACAUGAAAAAUCAAAUAAACACUAAUACAUUAGUAGUGGUGGAUCUUAAUACCUCACUGUCAAAGAUCAACUAAACAAAAAAAACAACAGUGAAGUACUAGAAUUCAAAAAAACUCUCGAACAAAUGAAUUUAACAGAUGUUUACAGAGUAUUUCACCCCACAAAAUGGGAAUACACAUUCUUUUCAGUGCACGUGGGUCGUUCUCCAAAAUAAACCACAUACUCAAUCAUAGAACAUGUUUAAGUAGAUGCAAAGGAAUUAAUGUUACCCCUAUAUAUAUCAUGAGACCUUAGUACUAUGAAUUUGGAGAUCACUAGCAAAAGAAACUGCAAGAAUUUCAUAAACACAUGGAAAUUGAACAACACACUCCUGAAUAACCAAAGUGUCACAGAGGAAAUUAAAGAAGAAAUCAGACAGUUCCUUCAUUUAAGUGACAAUAUAACCUAUCAGAAUCUGUCAGAGAUGUGAAAGCAGUCUUACAAGGGAAAUUCAUAGCAGUGAAUACUCAUAUUAGGAAAACAGAGUAAGCUCCAUUACACAACCUCAUGUUGAAACUCAAGUUUUUAGCAAAAGAAGAGCAGGACAAACCUAAACCUCAUACAAGGGAGGAAAUUACAAAGAUCAGAGCAAAAUCAAUGUAGUGGAGACUAAGAGAACAAUACAAAAAAUUAAUGAAGCCAAUAGGUGGUUCUUCAAAAGAAUAAACAAAAUUAACAAACGCUUAGCCAGCCUUUACAAAAAGGGAAAGAAAAGGCUCAAAUCCAUGCAAUUAGGAAUGAAAAGGGUGAAAUUACAACAGACCCAGGAGAAAUCCAGAGGAUCAUCAAUACCUACUUUGAGAAGCUUUACACCAAUAAGGUGGAAAAUACAGAAGAUAUGGGCAGAUCUCUAGAUUCGUAUGAAUUACCAAAGUUUAAUGAAGAUUACCUAAAAAUGCAAAACAACCCAAUAUCAGUGAAAUUGAAAAUGUAAUUAAAGACUUACCAACUAAGAAAAGCCUGGGCCCUGAUGGCUUCACUGCUGAAUUCUACAAGACAUUUAGAGAGGAACUACUGCCACUACUGUUUAAACUCUUCAUUGAAAUUGAAAGGGAGGAAAUACUCCCAAAUUCACUCCUGGAAGUAAGUAUCACCUUGAUCCCUAAAGCAGAGAAAGACUCAACUGAAAAAGAGAACUAUAGGCCAAUCUCACUAAAGAACAUAGAUGCAAAAAUCUUUGAUAAGAUAUAGGCAAACAGAAUACAGAAUCAAGAAGAUCAUACACCCUGACCAAGUAGGAUUCAUCCCAGGGAUGCAGAGAUGGUUCAACAUACACCAAUCAGUAAAUGUAAUAUACUAUAUUAAUAACUAUGAGAAUAAAAAGCAUAUGAUCAUCUCAAUAGAUGCGGGAAAAGCAUUUGACAAAAUCCAACAUGGAUUCAUGAUAAAAACGUGACAG
ensembl:lincRNA